rnacentral:rRNA from 1 species
UCAGGAUGAACGCUGGCGGCGUGCUUAACACAUGCAAGUCGAACGGACUUACCCUGGAUGAGGCCCUCGGGCGGAUUCCUAAGUAAGUUAGUGGCGGACGGGUGAGUAACGCGUGGGUAACCUGCCUCACAUUGGGGGAUAACGAUUGGAAACGAUCGCUAAUACCGCAUAAGACCACGGCACCGCAUGGUGCUGAGGUAAAAAACUCCGGUGAUGUGAGAUGGACCCGCGUCUGAUUAGCCAGUUGGCGGGGUAACGGCCCACCAAAGCUACGAUCAGUAGCCGACCUGAGAGGGUGAUCGGCCACAUUGGGACUGAGACACGGCCCAAACUCCUACGGGAGGCAGCAGUGGGGAAUAUUGCACAAUGGGGGAAACCCUGAUGCCAGCGACGCCGCGUGAGUGAAGAAGUAUUUCGGUAUGUAAAGCUCUUUAAGCAGGGAAGAUAAUGACGGUACCUGCAGAAUAAGCACCGGCUAAAUACGUGCCAGCCGCCGC